rnacentral:misc_RNA from 1 species
GAAGAAGAAGAAGAAGAAGAAACCAAAGCGACACCAGUAUCAAAACCAGAUAUUGAGGAAGUUCUCGCACAAGAGCAAUCAUAACCUGUAUGAAUCUACAAAAGAUUAGCUCCAUGUCAACCAAUGAACAUUUUUAUUUGUGUCCAAUAGGAGCAAGGUGAAGGAAUUAUUGAAGUUUAGUUAUUUAAUUUCUUAUGGCUAGGGAAUUCAAAAUGCAGUGCAUGUUGAUCCAAUAGUAUUGCAAGGGAUUGGCCUGCACUGUGCAUUUGGAGGACCUAUUGUUUGUUCAUGAUUUUGCAUUGUUGGAUUGAAA